rnacentral:rRNA from 1 species
UACGUAGGGUGCAAGCGUUGUCCGGAAUUAUUGGGCGUAAAGAGCGUGUAGGCGGCCCGGUUAGUCCGCUGUGAAAGUCCAGGGCUCAACCCUGGAAUGCCGGUGGAUACUGUCGGGCUAGAGUCCGGAAGGGCGAGUGGAAUUCCUGGUGUAGCGGUGAAAUGCGCAGAUAUCAGGAGGAACACCAAUGGCGAAGGCAGCUCGCUGGGACGUGACUGACGCUGAGACGCGACAGCGUGGGGAGCAAACAGG